GCACGUGGGGAACUGUCCGGUAUCCCUCGCCUCCCUCACCGUGGGCCCUCUUGCGUCCCAGUCAAGCCCCUCAUCUUGCCUUCGGGUUGGCCUUGAAGGGUCUGUCCUCCUCCCGGUCCACAGCCAGGCGCAGGGUCUUCAGCUCUUGGCGCAUCAGCUCAUCCACCUGCGGAGACAGCAGAGCUCAGUGGGAGAAAGAGGGACCUGGGGAGGCAGAGGACAAUGGGGACCGAGAUGGGCCAGGAUGGACCAUACAGAGAAGGCAGUGUCCGGAAGAUGCUAUACGGGAUGAGCAGGCUCUGGGCGUGAGGCAAGAGUGGACGGAGGGCACAGAGCCCAAGGCAGCUGGAGGCUGAGUGGGGAGAGGGAGCCCGCGGGGAGGCCCUGAGCCAGUGCGCCCACCUGCACCCGGAUCUCCUGCUCCAUCUCCUUCCUCUUCUGCGCCCGGAGGGCCUCGGGGUCAAAACUCUGACUGGGUUCCAUUUGCACCUGUGACCAAGGAUGAAAGACGUUUUGGAGAAGACCAAGGGCAUGUUAAAGGAGCCAGAGAACCCAGGGCCCGUGGCUGGGGUGGACUCAGGACCCCCAAGGCCUACGGGAACUUGUGGGGUCCGAGUGGCUGAGAGUCCAGAGACUUCCUGAGGCACCGGAAGAAGGGCACCAGGUGACCCAGUGCUCUGACCACAGCGGCCACUCUCUCCAGCCCACGGGGCUGUGGAGAACAGUGGUCUCCACAGACGUUUCCUCUCCCUGGCCCGGGAUGUCUGCUCCGGCAGCAGGGGCCCGCUCGCCCCCAUCAGGCCUGACUAACUGCAUACAUCUCCUCCGGCCCCUCCACCUGCCCUGCGCGGACCUCGCUCCACACCCCAGUGCCUCCCUCAGCUGACAGUACCACCCUCUGUAACCUCAGGUCCACCAGCCACUAAAGGCC